UUUUUGCCAUUUCUAGGGCCGCUCCCGUGGCAUAUGGAGGUUCCCAGGCUAGGGAUCCAAUCGGAGCUGUAGGCACCAGCCUACACCACAGCCACAGCAACGUGGGAUCCAAGCCGCAUAUGCGACCUGCACCACAGCUCACGGCAACGCCAGAUCCUCAACCCACUGAGCAAGGCCAAGGAUCGAACCCACAACCUCAUGGUUCCUAGUUGGAUUCACCAACCAUGACAGGAACUCCAUGACUGCAAGUCUUUAUCAUGGUCUCCUAGCCCCCUGCUGCAAACCUUCACACACACACACACACACAUACACACACACACAGAGCACCUAUGUCCACUCCUGACCACCAGCCUGGAGAGUGACACUCUGCCCCUUCCUCCUUCCCCUCCCCUUUUGCAACCCAAAUACUCCACUCUCCAUAAAGAAGGAACUAUUACUUGCAUCUCAUUCCCAUCUGCUACAGACUAUGAUUAAUUAACACCCUUCAUUAUAAAAUCUCAACACAACAAAGUGAGACAAAGUCCCAGUGUCCCUCAUGACGGAUGUUUUAAACAUCUAUGCAUGUAACAAGGCUACAGAAUCAUCUACUUACUCAGCACACUGCCCACAUCACUCCAGGGCUGGGACCAAAUCUUCUUUGUAUGCCAGCCACACAAGGCCGUCCAUGAUAAAAGGGUCCCAUCCACUCCACUUCAUAGGUCUCUUGCCACCAGCCACCUAGCAUCGUGUCCCCAGUGUCUAUAUCCCCCUGCACACAUCAGGCUGCGCUCUGUGACUCACAAUGCUCCUGCUCACCUGUGCUCCUUCCUUAAUCAGCUCCAAUAGGACCCUCUCAAAAAGGAGGUGCCCCAGAGUUGGGUGCAAUGUCUCCAGGGCUACCACAGGCCCCGUGCACCUGCCUGAAAGCUCCAUUCUGUUUAGUAAUGAUUCCCUCUUCUUUAUCUCACUCUUCCAUCUCAUUAAGAACAGUACCUUAUUAAACUUUGUCUCUCUAGAAAUGAGCACACACCAUGACUGACAGCAUUCGAGCAACAAAUCCAUCCAUUCAUGAAUUCAAGCCACAGUGUUAACACCGAACAGAGAGAGGUAUCAGCCACGGUCUCUCUCUUACAAAUUUCUGACAUCACUGCAGGGCACAUUACUCCUAAAUACACUGUCAUCUGAUAAACCAACCAAGAGAAAAAGAAUGCAUUCAUUAUACAUCAGUCCUGAAACAGAUCAAAGACAAAAACAUGUCAUCUGGCCCAUGAGCAAAAAAGCAAGGAAUCUUGCAGCAAUAUGAUUUUCAAUUUGCAUAAAUUGUGCAAGUUUCUUUGAAGUCGAGUGAGAGUAAGGUAGAAUACAAUCAAGUUUAAAAUUUUGACACUCUGACUCUUUCUUCAGUGUACAAAAGCUUGGGGAAUUCAAGAAGAAGAAGUUGCUUUGCACAAACAAAAGCAAAUGCCUCAUCAGUGUGAGAAAUGUCAGUGGUCCCAACAGCAGAGUAGUUUCUCGUGUGCCUCCCUUCAUCCCACAGGACUUUAAAGUUAAAUGCUGAGCCCUUUUAGAAGGACAACUACUCAAAGAGAACAUAGUAGGGAGACCAAAUGGAUGCUUUGCAAUGUCUUAACUCAUGCCUACCAUGAAAUCAAAAGUCCCAUGAGCUAGGUUCCAACAGUCAGUGACUAUGAGGGGAGGCAGAUGCCUCUCUGGGACCCAGAGGCACCACUCCCUUUGAGGUCCUCUGAGGAGAUGUGGUGGUGUUACCUGAGCAUCCUAAGAGAAGGGCCCCCCAUCCCAGCCCCGCCAUGCUGGAUGCUGACCUUCAACCCUGCCAGCCUCACUCAUGUCCAGCCACAGGGCAGAGCGGCAGCCACUCAGCAGGGAAAUCUGUUCUACAACAGUGAGCCCCAACAAAAGAAUUCUAGACCAAGACACUGCUUUGUUCAAGCACAUAUUUUUGUUCACAGGAGCAGAAAUUGUAUUAGAGGAAGUCUUUUGUUGUUUGAAACGUGCUAACAUGUCUGUCAGAAAAUCAUGAAAACUACUCUAAAUGACAUGUUUUUCAUACCAAGUUAAUUUCUGAAAUAAAGGAGAUCCAUUUUCAACAACAAAGGGUCUCAAGAUUUUUAAACCUGAGCACCAAUAAUCCAAACACCAAAGCUAUAAUUCACACAUGCAACAAAAUUUUAACAGUUGGUCUUUUAAAAAAAAUUAGCUCAUUUUCAGGCUCCAUAUGCACAAGUUACCUUAAACUGGUAAGAACUGAACAUUUUAUACAUGUUUCAAUGCAAUACUUAUCCAAGAAUUCCUGCUUUCUCUAUAAAACAGGCAUGGUUAUAAUGUGAUAGGUCUGUAGCCCAAAUUCAUUCUUGAGCCUAUUAGGUUUGAUAAGACUUUUUACCCAUACUGAAACUCUACUAACUUUCCAUUUUAUUUCAGUUAAUGUUCCAUAAAGAAAAUUCCUGCUCUACUUACUACAAAUGAGAAACUGCAGUCACUACUUGGAACAUAGAUGAUUGGCAAAAAAAAAAUAAACCCUGCAAUUUUUAAGGCAAAUAACGGUGCUAGGUACAUCAUAAUAAACAAGGUCAGUAAAAGAUUGAGACUAACCCCUCCUUCCAGGGGAUUAGGAAGAAACCUUAAACACAGAAAAGAUAUUUACAUGAUAGGAACAUUUUGUUCAUACCCACUGUUUCACGCAUCUACUCUGUCAGAGGCUGGAAGAUGCUGGGCAUAUAAAGAGAAACACUAGUUUUCAGGAUACUCACAAGCCAUGAAACUGUAUGCAAACUGACAUGCACACAUGCAAUUUUCUUAUAGGGAGAAUAAAACUUAACAAAAGGGUGCACCAUCACCAAAAGAUGAAGAAUUGCUGAUACAGACAAUACAUGGUGGAGAGUUGCCAAGGAAUAUGUUACUUCCAAAUAAAGUGUUACCAAGAAAUGUUACUUUCCAAAUAAGAAAAGAGGAUUUUCCAUAGGCCUCAGAGGGGGCAGAGCUUCACAGGCCAAAGCUAAGAGAAAUGGUGUAGAGUGUUGGGAAAGGGAACUGGGGACCAAAACUGUGGCACAGCAUCAUUCCAGCAAGAACGUCGGACACUGCAGUGGCUGCUCAGGCAAGCUGGAAACACAUCACCGAGGGCAACACACAGUCUAAGAAUCAGACCACCAGGGCUCAAGUGCCACCGCUGUACAACCUUGACAUAUGGUAUCACCUAGUCCUGACGUAGGUAUGAAGAUUAAAUGAGAUAAUGAACAUAAACAGUGCUAAGCACAGCCCCUGGCAGCCAGCAAGGCUCCACAGCGAUCCCUGGAAUGCUGACCACCAUCACUGCUGUUUGACCCAAUGCCACUCCCCUAGGAAAGUCCAUCUAAAGGAGAGGUGGGCUCAAGGGCAGGACGCAUUGUAGGCUCCUGGCAUCACAGCACACUUCUCCCUUGUAUCUGACCUGAGGAUUUACCAGGACACUCUCAGCUUUCCUCCCCUUAUCACCUCCACCUGCUUCAACUUGGCUGCUAAGAGAAGGGUUGGCUGUUUGCCCCCACAGGACUCUACCAACUCCUCCUUCCAAAGUGUCCCAAAUUUUUGAACCAACUACAACUGGAGAAUAGAGACAAAUUAGGUCUAGAGGCUAUGUUGGCUAGGCAUUCAGUACCAAACACUAGAAACACAACUUAAAAGACAUAAACAAAAAGUGAUGUGUCCAGGGACAGAUGGUUCAAAAGAUGUGACAGCAAAACUCUCAUCCCAGCUCCACUUUCCUCUGUGUUCAUUCCAUCCUGUCUCUUGAUUGCUUCAGCCUAAGACCUGUGGCUGAUUCCCGCUGGCUGAUAACUCUGUCCAGGCCUGGGGAGAGUGCCCACACUUAACUCAGCUGCACGAGCAGUCACAAAAACCAAAAAUAAAGUGGGAAGUCUCCCAAAAGAAACUAAAAGUGUAAUGAACAGAAAACAUAGGGAAUGCAUGCUAGACAGGCACAAAUAACACAUAUCUGUCAAAGGAACAUAUGAUUAUAUUCAUGCCUUCAGGAAGCAUCAUGAUUCUUGGCAUUAUAUUCCCAUCUGUUUAUUUGAAUCUAUUAGAACUGUUCU
rnacentral:lncRNA from 1 species